rnacentral:rRNA from 1 species
CAGUAGCCGCGGGUAAUACGUAGGGUGCAAGCGUUAAUCGGAAUUACUGGGCGUAAAGCGUGCGCAGGCGGUUUGUUAAGACAGAUGUGAAAUCCCCGGGCUCAACCUGGGAACUGCAUUUGUGACUGGCAGGCUAGAGUAUGGCAGAGGGGGGUGGAAUUCCGCGUGUAGCAGUGAAAUGCGUAGAUAUGCGGAGGAACACCGAUGGCGAAGGCAGCCCCCUGGGCCAAUACUGACGCUCAUGCACGAAAGCGUGGGGAGCAAACAGGAUUAGAUACCCCCGUAGUCCCUGUCUCUUAUU